rnacentral:misc_RNA from 1 species
UACGGAGGGUGCAAGCGUUAAUCGGAAUUACUGGGCGUAAAGCGCGCGUAGGUGGUUUGGUAAGUCGGAUGUGAAAGCCCCGGGCUCAACCUGGGAAUUGCAUUCGAUACUGCUGAACUAGAGUAUGGUAGAGGGAAGUGGAAUUCCGCAUGUAGCGGUGAAAUGCAUAGAGAUGCGGAGGAACACCAGUGGCGAAGGCGACUUCCUGGACCAAUACUGACACUGAGGUGCGAAAGCGUGGGGAGCAAACAGG